rnacentral:rRNA from 1 species
GAUGAACGCUGGCGGCGUGCCUAAUACAUGCAAGUCGAGCGAACGGACGAGAAGCUUGCUUCUCUGAUGUUAGCGGCGGACGGGUGAGUAACACGUGGAUAACCUACCUAUAAGACUGGGAUAACUUCGGGAAACCGGAGCUAAUACCGGAUAAUAUUUUGAACCGCAUGGUUCAAAAGAGAAAGACGGUCUUGCUGUCACUUAUAGAUGGAUCCGCGCUGCAUUAGCUAGUUGGUAAGGUAGCGGCUUACCAAGGCAACGAUGCAUAGCCGACCUGAGAGGGUGAUCGGCCACACUGGAACUGAGACACGGUCCAGACUCCUACGGGAGGCAGCAGUAGGGAAUCUUCCGCAAUGGGCGAAAGCCUGACGGAGCAACGCCGCGUGAGUGAUGAAGGUCUUCGGAUCGUAAAACUCUGUUAUUAGGGAAGAACAUAUGUGUAAGUAACUGUGCACAUCUUGACGGUACCUAAUCAGAAAGCCACGGCUAACUACGUG